CCGGCAGCAAUCCGUCUGGGUUUCCACCAGGUGCCCACGUGUUCACCCUCCAACGUUGAUCCACACGGAGACUCGACCAACCCACUAGCACCUAUUUAAAUAUUCUCUAUAAUUAAAUUCUGAUUUAUCAGAAUUUAAAUGCAAUUUGGGCAGAACCUCCUUUCUUGGCUUUGCUGUCACACUGUUGGACCUUUUCUUGCCUUCCUUUCUUGCUCCUUGUCUCUUUAAUUUUUAUUCCAAUUCUCUAAGCCAUUUUGGAAGACUUCUUGUCUUUUAUCAGGAUCUUAUCUAGGCUAGAGAGAAAGAAUAAAGAAAAUUGGACAAUAAAAGCCUCUUGUAAGAAAAAAGGAAGAAUUCUGAAUGCACAAAGACUCCUCGGUGUGCACCCCUAUUUAUAUUGCACGUAGGGGUGCAAACCAAAACAUCUCACGCCCACUCACACUUUAUCUCAUGCCCUCUUUCUAUUUCUCAUGCCCCAUAAAUUGUAAAAUGCCAUGUGUACAUCAAAGUUGGGUUGAAGAGGCGCCUUAUUUCAGAAGGACUCUUCGAUCUUAACUUACGGUGUUCACAUGAGAAGUCACAAAGCUUCUCUUAUUGGUGCCAUCAACCCAUGCCUUUGGAUCUAGAAGGAAGCCCAUCCAAUGGCCAAGAUAGAGGGUGCCAACUUGAGGAAGGGCGCAAGAGAUUAAGGGGCAUGGAUAAGUUAAAACUUAUCUCCCCAUUUGAAAUUUCCAAAGGGCGCUUCCAAGGGGUGGCGCAUGGAUUUAAUCCUUAUCUCUUCUCCUAAUUUUUCUACGAUGGGUUUAAUACUCAGAAGGACUCUUAGGUGCCUCCUAAGAUAUUUGAAAACCAUUCGUAGAAUAAAAGUCACGGAGAAAAAUAAGAAAGACAAAGUUAAGGGGUGUCAUCUCCCAUCCAUGCGCCAUGUGACACAUGCGCAUGGAUUUAAAUUCUUACCACUUUUCCUAAUUUUUCUACGAGGAGUUUAAUACUCAGAAGGACUCUUAGGUGCCUCCUAAGACAUCUAAAAACCAUUCAUAGAAUAAAAACUAUGGAGAAAAAAUAGAUAAGACCAAAUUUAAGGUGGCGCCAACUCUAUCCAUGCGCCAUGUGGCUCAUGCGCAUGGAUUUAAAUCCACACGCCAAGAGAGAGACUCUUAGGUGUGUGGUUCUCUGGUUUUUGGCACCCAACAGCAAGCCCAAUUAAAACACUUCGAACCCAUUUCAAGACCAAAUCCAAUUUGGCUUAAAUUGGUUCUAAAUUAGCCCAAAUCGGAAUCCGAUUCGAAUUCGAUUCGAAUCUAAAUGCUAGGGU
rnacentral:lncRNA from 1 species